GACGAACGCUGGCGGCGUGCCUAACACAUGCAAGUCGAGCGAAUGAAGUUCCUUCGGGAACGGAUUUAGCGGCGGACGGGUGAGUAACACGUGGGCAACCUGCCUCAUAGAGGGGAAUAGCCUUCCGAAAGGGAGAUUAAUACCGCAUAAGAUUGUAGUACCGCAUGGUACAGCAAUUAAAGGAGCAAUCCGCUAUGAGAUGGGCCCGCGGCGCAUUAGCUAGUUGGUGAGGUAACGGCUCACCAAGGCGACGAUGCGUAGCCGACCUGAGAGGGUGAUCGGCCACAUUGGGACUGAGACACGGCCCAGACUCCUACGGGAGGCAGCAGUGGGGAAUAUUGCACAAUGGGGGAAACCCUGAUGCAGCAACGCCGCGUGAGUGAUGACGGCCUUCGGGUUGUAAAGCUCUGUCUUCAGGGACGAUAAUGACGGUACCUGAGGAGGAAGCCACGGCUAACUACGUGCCAGCAGCCGCCGUAAAAC
rnacentral:rRNA from 1 species